GGAAGACACAUCAUCGAGUGCAGCAUUGAUGAAUUCUUUCACUUUAUGCCCUGUUAGCCGUCCAACUCUUUCUGAGAUGAAUUCGCCAGUGCUGCACUCAAUCAUGUGUUUU
rnacentral:pre_miRNA from 1 species